GGUUUUUUGAAAUUAAUUUAAAAUUUGGCCUGCUCAAUGAAUAUUAAAUAGCUGCAGUAUAUUGACUGUACAAAGGUAGCAUAAUCAAUAGUUUCUUAAUUGGGGGCUUGUAUGAAGGGUUUGAUGAAAUAUAAUCUUUAUUAGAAUUAAUAAUUGAAAUUUAUUUUUAGUUAAAAAUCUAAAGUGGAUUUAAAAGACGAGAAGACCCUAUAGAUUUUAAUAAUUUUAUUUUAUUUUGUAAAUAUAAAAGGGUAAAUUAAAAUUAUUUGGUUGGGGUGAUUUUUUAAUUUAAAUAACUUAUUUUUUAAAUAAACAAAAAUUUUUGAAUAAUUGAUCUUGAAUUUUGGAUUAAAAGAAAAAAUUACCUUAGGGAUAACAGCGUAAUUUUCUUGGUAAGAUCAAAUUGAUAAGGAAGAUUGC
rnacentral:rRNA from 1 species